rnacentral:rRNA from 1 species
ACGGAAGGCAGCAGUGGGGAAUAUUGCACAAUGGGGGAAACCCUGAUGCAGCGACGCCGCGUGAGUAAAGAAGUAUUUCGGUAUGUAAAGCUCUAUCAGCAGGGAAGAAAACAAUGACGGUACCUGACUAAGAGGCCCCGGCUAACUACGUGCCAGCAGCCGCGGUAAUACGUAGGGGGCAAGCGUUAUCCGGAUUUACUGGGUGUAAAGGGAGCGUAGACGGUGAGGCAAGUCUGAAGUGAAAGCCCGGGGCUCAACCCCGGGACUGCUUUGGAAACUGUCUGACUAGAGUGCAGGAGAGGUAAGUGGAAUUCCUAGUGUAGCGGUGAAAUGCGUAGAUAUUAGGAGGAACACCAGUGGCGAAGGCGGCUUACUGGACUGUAACUGACGUUGAGGCUCGAAAGCGUGGGGAGCAAACAGGAUUAGAUACCCUGGUA